rnacentral:rRNA from 1 species
UACGGAGGGGGCGAGCGUUGUCCGAAUUUAUUGGGCGUAAAGCGCGUGUAGGCGGACCGCAAAGCCUGGGGUGAAAGGUUGGGGCUCAACCCCAAGAGUGCCCUGGGGACUUGCGGUCUGGAGGCAGGCAGAGGAGAGUGGAAUUCCUGGUGUAGCGGUGAAAUGCGCAGAUAUCAGGAGGAACACCGGUGGCGAAGGCGGGUCUCUGGGCCGAUACUGACGCUGAGGAGCGAAAGCCAGGGGAGCAAACGGG